rnacentral:rRNA from 1 species
CCUAUAGAAUAGAGUUAAUGCAUUAAAUCCCAUUAGAACUCAAUAGUUAAGUGCUCUCAGGAUAGAGUAGUACUAGAAUGGGUGACCUCCCAGGAAGUCCUAGUGUUUUAAUUGC